rnacentral:rRNA from 1 species
GACGAACGCUGGCGGCGUGCUUAACACAUGCAAGUCGAACGGAAAGGCCCCUUUGGGGGUCCUCGAGUGGCGAACGGGUGAGUAACACGUGAGUAACCUGCCCUUGACUUCGGGAUAACUUCAGGAAACUGGGGCUAAUACCGGAUAGGAAUCCUUGCUGCAUGGUGGGGGUUGGAAAGCUUCGGCGGUUUUGGAUGGACUCGCGGCUUAUCAGCUUGUUGGUGGGGUAGUGGCUUACCAAGGCUUUGACGGGUAGCCGGCCUGAGAGGGCGACCGGCCACAUUGGGACUGAGAUACGGACCAGACUCCAACGGGAGGCAGCGGUGGGGAAUAUUACACAGUGGGCGGAAGCCUGAUGCAGCAACGCCGCGUGCGGGAUGACGGCCUUCGGGUUGUAAACCGCUUUCAGCAGGGGCGAAGCUUGUGGUGACGGUACCUGAAGAAGAAGCACCGGCUAACUACGU